GACGAACGCUGGCGGCGUGCUUAACACAUGCAAGUCGAACGGAAAGGCCCUGCUUUUGUGGGGUGCUCGAGUGGCGAACGGGUGAGUACCACGUGAGUAACCUGCCCGUGACUUUGGGAUAACGUCGGGAAACUGGGGCUAAUACCGGAUAGGAGCUCCUGCUGCAUGGUGGGGGUUGGAAAGUUUCGGGGGGUGGGGAGGGACUCGCGGCUUGUGAGUUUGUUGGUGGGGCUUUGGUUUACCAUGGCGUUGACGGGUACCCGGCCUGAGAGGGCGAGCGGCGGCGUUGGGACUGAGAUACGGCGCAGGCUCGUACGGGAGGCAGCAGUGGGGAAUAUUGCACAAUGGGAGGAGGCCUGAUGCAGAAACGCUGUGGGCGGGAUGACGGACGUCGGGGUGUAGGCCGCUUUCGCCUGGGACGAAGCGUGAGGGACGGUAAUGGGUAAAGAAGAACCGGCUAACUACGUG
rnacentral:rRNA from 1 species